CAGCUGUCAUGGUCGAAGGGAGAUCUCCCGCUUCCCCCCGUGUGUUCUGUGAUUUGAGUUUAUCCGUUAAUCUCUAACAGCAGACUUGGUGCCUGGUUCGAAUCGCCGGGUCGCGAGAUUUUAUAUGUAACAGUAUUUAAUCUUCUCCCACACUCGUGCGAGUAAUCCACGAUUUGGCUGUUGGCGCGCUAAGCAAUGGCCCGCAUCCUCGAGGGAAGCAAUUCUGCAGAGAUCGGGCUCCCCGGUGAUGGCGACACCAGAUUACACCGCUGCUGCAUAGACUCCAGGGGGAUUGGCUGGUCGACUUUCUUUU
rnacentral:SRP_RNA from 1 species